UACGAAGGGGGCGAGCGUUGUUCGGAUUUACUGGGCGUAAAGGGCGCGUAGGCGGCCGAUCAAGUCAGGCGUGAAAGCCCCGGGCUCAGCCUGGGAAUGGCGCUUGGGACUGGUUGGCUUGAGUUCGGGAGAGGAGAGUGGAAUUCCCAGUGUAGAGGUGAAAUUCGUAGAUAUUGGGAAGAACACCGGUGGCGAAGGCGGCUCUCUGGACCGAGACUGACGCUGAGGCGCGAAAGCGUGGGGAGCAAACAGG
rnacentral:rRNA from 1 species